rnacentral:lncRNA from 1 species
AGGUUCCAUAGAUCCUGAGGAUCUGGAUGCAUCAACAACUCUAAAAAGAUAAAAAAGCAAGAUUUAAAAUACUUGAAAAUAGACUGGUAAUUCAAUUGAUUUAAUAAAAACUAUGCAGUCUUUACAUAAUUAUCUUAAAAAAGGACAAAGUUUCUGUUCUUAUCAGUCUUUAUGUGUGUUCCAGCACCUUCUGUAAUCACUGGAACAGCAGGAGAAUGAUUUCCCUCAACCUCAGAACAGCUUUCAAUAAAGUCUUCAACAAGGAAGAUGAGGAGGCCGGAGCACAGCCAGGGAAGCUGCAGAACAUGAGGAAAUACAGGGCACUUAGGAGCUUUCAGUUAAACCCACAACUGAUCAUUUUGUUGGCCCAGAGUUCCUACUCUGUGAGUACUCUGCACACCUGGAGAUUUUUACAGAGUUUUGUUUUGGUCUAAUUCCCACGGGGUUUUGUACCCUUCUCUUAACAAGAAUCAGAAUAGCUUACAUUCCUGCACCAUGCUUUUCCUCCCAAGGGACCCUAAAACCAUUUACAAACUAUAAAAGCUGCUUUUUCUCUAAACAAAAAUCACUUUACCCAUCAGUGAAGUGCAGCCACCUGGAGGGGAGGGUGAGUGUAGAGCAGCAGCUGCUUAAAAACUCACAAUAUUGUUACAUUUUAAGCUGAAAAGUGAUAAGUACUAACAUCCAGCUGAAUGUAUGGCUGGCAUUUCAGAAAGUAGGACGUAAUUUUUCAAACUGUAAUUUGACCUAGAGAACAUACCCGGCUCUUGCACCAAGUACAAAGGCACAUUUAAUUUUAGCAUGCAGUCAAACAAGCAACUUAUGACUUAUUAUAAAGAAAACCAGGACCUCUGUCAGGAAAUUAUCCUAAAGUUAUGUAGAGAAGGAAGAAAAGGAUGAAGUGGAUAAUCACCUCCCAAGCACAACUGUGUAGUCUUAUUUCAUGAAAGACUAUGUGCUGAGCAAUCUCAGGCUGUUUGUUUCUCAAGUCUCAGAUAAUUGCAGCCCAGGGGGAUAGGCUGCAACAAUGCUCUAGGUGGCACGCAGAAAAACCGUGUGUCUCAUCAUUGUCAGAAUAUACUAACUGUGGCCACAAUGAUGAUGAGGAUGAUACUAGCAGCAACAACAACAACAAUCAUAAUAAAACCCCAACAACUACCA